GAUGAAGAACGUAGCGAAAUGCGAUAAGUAGUGUGAAUUGCAGAAUUCAGUGAAUCAUCGAAUCUUUGAACGCACAUUGCGCCCCUUGGUAUUCCAUGGGGCAUGCCUGUUCGAGCGUCAUUUGUACCCUCAAGCUUUGCUUGGUGUUGGGUGUUUGUCCUCUCCUUUGCGUUUGGACUCGCCUUAAAGCAAUUGGCAGCCAGUGUUUUGGUAUUGAAGCGCAGCACAUUUUGCGAUUCUAGCCGAUAAUACUUGCGUCCAGAAGCCUUUUUUAACUUUUGACCUCGGAUCAGGUAGGGAUACCCGCUGAACUUAAGCAUAUCAAUAAGCGGAGGA
rnacentral:misc_RNA from 1 species